CUUUUAAUCAAUUGGUCGCAGGUUCGAAUCCUGCACGACCCACCAUUCUUUCGAUAAAUAAGAACUGGUUAAUGUGAAGGAUAACAUCGCGUAGCGAUGGCCCGUAGGGCGAGGCGUAAGCCGAGUCAUCCUGCACGACCCACCA
rnacentral:sRNA from 1 species